UACGGAGGAUGCGAGCGUUAUCCGGAUUUAUUGGGUUUAAAGGGUGCGCAGGCGGAUUUUUAAGUCAGCGGUCAAAUCGUGGGGCUCAACCCCAUCCAGCCGUUGAAACUGGGGAUCUAGAGUGUGCGAGAGGUAUGCGGAAUGCGUGGUGUAGCGGUGAAAUGCAUAGAUAUCACGCAGAACCCCGAUAGCGAAGGCAGCUUACCAGACUGUUACUGACGCUGAAGCACGAGAGCGUGGGUAGCGAACAGG
rnacentral:rRNA from 1 species